rfam:Aedes albopictus isolate Foshan contig35662, whole genome shotgun sequence.
UGUUCUAUGGCUUAGUUGGUUAAAGCACCGGCCUAGAGAAUACGGAGUCGUGGGUUCGAAUCUCUCCAGAACGG